rfam:Ectocarpus siliculosus strain Ec 32, whole genome shotgun sequence assembly, chromosome LG12
GGGGGAUUAGCUCAGGGGUUAGAGUGUUCGCUUUGCAUGCGAAAUGUCGGGGGUUCAAAUCCCCCAUCCUCCA